UACUUGCAACCAGAGUCAUCAAUUUUGAAGACAGCAACCAAGCCAAGCAAUGUGAGGUUACAGCUAUGAAAUAGAACAGAGAUGUCUAGACUAUAGACACAGCCUGCCGUUUUGUGCUGAUUGGUAAAGUGUUCCAGCCAACUGGAAGCAAAUAUUUCUCAGAAGCAGUUUCCUGCUCUCAUCCUCUCCUCGCCAUGCCCACUGUGCCCAACAUGGCUCCAGCUGGGUCACAGAAGACUUUGUCCUGGAAUACAGCAUUUCCCUAUUUAAAUCUCUAACUUUGUAUGUACUCUUUUCAAUAAAAGCAUAUUUUUCAUUACCA
rnacentral:lncRNA from 10 species